ACCUGAGAUAUUACGGGCAUAUAACUAGCAGCUGGCCCAACCUUCUAAGGGCCAGUGAAUCAUUCUGAUAUAAUCCGACCCCUAUAUUCUACUGCCUUGAUAUCUGAUCCUUCGGUCCGAAUCCCUUCCAAUAUAACACUGUAUUAUCUUAGAGUUCUAAGGACCUCCCCUAGAUAAGUGGCGAGUCCCUUGACCCGCUGCUUACAUCUUCCUCCUUUGAACAUCGUCACCAACACUUCAUUCAUUCCAGCGGGUCAGUAGUCAGGUAGCCAGCUAGUAAGCUAAUAUUGAUAGAUAGGUGGGUGGCUACUGAUGUUAGGGUUAGGGUUAGGUUAGGGUGAUGUGUAUUCUCAUAGAGAUUGAUUGGAUACUGAGCAGGAAGGUUGGUUGAUAGAUAGGGGGUAGAUAGGUAGCUAUCUAGCGGGCAUUCUAUAUUCCAUUGGCAAUUGAUCGGAUAUCACGGACGUCUAAGUAGUUGCUUGUAUAUCAGC
rnacentral:sRNA from 2 species